GUCCAGACUCCUACGGGAGGCAGCAGUGGGGAAUAUUGGGCAAUGGGCGCAAGCCUGACCCAGCAACGCCGCGUGAAGGAAGAAGGCUUUCGGGUUGUAAACUUCUUUUAAGAGGGAAGAGAAGAAGACGGUACCUCUUGAAUAAGCCACGGCUAACUACGUGCCAGCAGCCGCGGUAAUACGUAGGGGGCAAGCGUUAUCCGGAUUUACUGGGUGUAAAGGGAGCGUAGACGGCAGUGCAAGUCUGAAGUGAAAGGCGGGGGCCCAACCCCCGGACUGCUUUGGAAACUGUGCUGCUGGAGUGCAGGAGAGGCAAGUGGAAUUCCUAGUGUAGCGGUGAAAUGCGUAGAUAUUAGGAGGAACACCAGUGGCGAAGGCGACUUUCUGGACUGUACCUGACGCUGAGGCGCGAAAGCGUGGGUAGCGAACGGGAUUAGAUACCCGGGUAUG
rnacentral:rRNA from 1 species